CCUACGGGAGGCAGCAGUAGGGAAUCUUCCACAAUGGGCGAAAGCCUGAUGGAGCAACGCCGCGUGGGUGAAGAAGGUCUUCGGAUCGUAAAACCCUGUUGUUAGAGAAGAAAGUGCGUGAGAGUAACUGUUCACGUUUCGACGGUAUCUAACCAGAAAGCCACGGCUAACUACGGGCCAGCAGCCGCGGUAAUACGUGGGUGGCAAGCGUUAUCCGGAUUGAUUGGGCGUAAAGGGAACGCAGGCGGUCUUUUAAGUCUGAUGUGAAAGCCUUCGGCUUAACCGGAGUAGUGCAUUGGAAACUGGGAGACUUGAGUGCAGAAGAGGAGAGUGGAACUCCAUGUGUAGCGGUGAAAUGCGUAGAUAUAUGGAAGAACACCAGUGGCGAAGGCGGCUCUCUGGUCUGUAACUGACGCUGAGGUUCGAAAGCGUGGGUAGCAAACAGGAUUAGAUACCCUGGUAGUC
rnacentral:rRNA from 1 species